rnacentral:rRNA from 1 species
UACAGAGGUCCCAAGCGUUGUUCGGAUUUACUGGGCGUAAAGGGUGCGUAGGCGGUGGGGUAAGUUUGAGGUGAAAGCUCCGGGCUCAACCCGGAAAAUGCCUUGAAAACUAUCCGGCUAGAGGGUUGGAGGGGAGACUGGAAUUCUCGGUGUAGCAGUGAAAUGCGUAGAUCUCGAGAGGAACACCAGUGGCGAAGGCGGGUCUCUGGACAACACCUGACGCUGAGGAGCGAAAGCGUGGGGAGCGAACAGG